rnacentral:rRNA from 1 species
UGGGGAAUAUUGGACAAUGGGCGCAAGCCUGAUCCAGCCAUGCCGCGUGAGUGAUGAAGGCCCUAGGGUUGUAAAGCUCUUUCACCGGUGAAGAUAAUGACGGUAACCGGAGAAGAAGCCCCGGCUAACUUCGUGCCAGCAGCCGCGGUAAUACGAAGGGGGCUAGCGUUGUUCGGAUUUACUGGGCGUAAAGCGCACGUAGGCGGACUUUUAAGUCAGGGGUGAAAUCCCGGGGCUCAACCCCGGAACUGCCUUUGAUACUGGAAGUCUUGAGUAUGGUAGAGGUGGGUGGAAUUCCGAGUGUAGAAGUGAAAUUCGUAGAUAUUCGGAGGAACACCAGUGGCGAAGGCGGCUCACUGGACCAUUACUGACGCUGGGGUGCGAAAGCGUGGGGAGCAAACAGG